rnacentral:rRNA from 1 species
ACGGAGGGUGCAAGCGUUAUCCGGAAUCACUGGGUUUAAAGGGUGCGUAGGCGGUUAAAUAAGUCAGAGGUGAAAGGUUGUCGCUUAACGAUAAAAUUGCCUUUGAUACUGUUUAACUUGAAUUAGGAUGAGGUAAGCGGAAUGCGUCAUGUAGCGGUGAAAUGCAUAGAUAUGACGUAGAACACCGAUUGCGAAGGCAGCUUACUGGACCUUGAUUGACGCUGAGGCACGAAAGCGUGGGGAGCGAACAGG